rnacentral:rRNA from 1 species
UUAAGUGACGAUAGCCUAGGAGAUACACCUGUACCCAUGCCGAACACAGAAGUUAAGCCCUAGAACGCCGGAAGUAGUUGGGGGUUGCCCCCUGUGAGAGAGGGUAGUCGCUUGGC